rnacentral:rRNA from 1 species
ACGGGUGAGUAACACGUGGGUAACCUGCCCAUCAGAAGGGGAUAACACUUGGAAACAGGUGCUAAUACCGUAUAACACUAUUUUCCGCAUGGAAGAAAGUUGAAAGGCGCUUUUGCGUCACUGAUGGAUGGACCCGCGGUGCAUUAGCUAGUUGGUGAGGUAACGGCUCACCAAGGCCACGAUGCAUAGCCGACCUGAGAGGGUGAUCGGCCACACUGGGACUGAGACACGGCCCAGACUCCUACGGGAGGCAGCAGUAGGGAAUCUUCGGCAAUGGACGAAAGUCUGACCGAGCAACGCCGCGUGAGUGAAGAAGGUUUUCGGAUCGUAAAACUCUGUUGUUAGAGAAGAACAAGGAUGAGAGUAAAAUGUUCAUCCCUUGACGGUAUCUAACCAGAAAGCCACGGCUAACUACGUGCCAGCAGCCGCGGUAAUACGUAGGUGGCAAGCGUUGUCCGGAUUUAUUGGGCGUAAAGCGAGCGCAGGCGGUUUCUUAAGUCUGAUGUGAAAGCCCCCGGCUCAACCGGGGAGGGUCAUCGGAAACUGGGAGACUUGAGUGCAGAAGAGGAGAGUGGAAUUCCAUGUGUAGCGGUGAAAUGCGUAGAUAUAUGGAGGAACACCAGUGGCGAAGGCGGCUCUCUGGUCUGUAACUGACGCUGAGGCUCGAAAGCGUGGGGAGCGAACAGGAUUAGAUACCCUGGUAGUCCACGCCGUAAA